GUGGGUAUAGCUCAGUAGUAGAGAGCUUGCCUAACAUGUAUGAGGCCCUGGGUUCAAUCCCCAGUACCACA
rnacentral:tRNA from 1 species